GCGCUUUCCGUGACGGGGAUGGUCGGGGGAGGUUCCACCACGAGCCACGGGCCUGUAAAGGGCGUCUGGGGGACAAAGGGCGUGGGACGAAUACCGAAAAAGCAGGAAUUGGCCACUCUGGAACCGGCCUAGGCACCCCGGAAGCUGCACCCAAGAAACGCAGGGCUGAAAGAGGAAGAGGAGGUAGCGCGGGACUGAGCUGAGAGCUGGACCGCCGGGUGCUGGCCUUGCGCAUGCGCCGAGGGCUGGGCGCGCGAGAACUGAGCGUCCGCGCCGGGCUGAGCAUGCGUGGAUGGCGGUGGUUGGCCUCAGCACGCUGGCGGACGACGGAGGGGAGGAGGGAGAACGCUGCGGCUCCGACUUAGUGCGCGUGCGCAUCUGGGGCGGGGGCUGUGUGGCAGUCUAACGCAGAGGGAGAGAGGGCAGUUCCGGAGAUGGCAGGGAAUACAUGUACAUUCUGACAAAAUUCAAGCAGCCAGUGGGGUACACAAUAAAAAUGCAGAAAGUGAGCCUGAAGGAGAAGUCCUUACUGAAGUCCCGUAGCCGGGAAGCAGCAGGGCCUGGAUUCAAAUGCAAGCCUGUCUCACCACAGAGCAAGCCCACAUAUUUUCCCCUGGCAGUGGGCAGCCUGCCUCGUGAUUCUCUGCAGCUCUGGAAACUGUGUUCUCCUUGCUCUCCCACCAGGGGGCGCUGCCUCCUGCCACCUCUCAGCUUCAGGCCUGGUUCCUUCCACUCCGCUAUCCAGUGGUAACUGAAGAACCCCAGGAUCCUGGACUCUGGGCCCCCAGUCCCCACCUUCUCUGGGACCCAGGAGUCUCAGCGCCCCAGGCACCUCCACUUCUAACUGAAAGCCAGAGGUCAUCCGUAGCAGCACAAUGAGGAUGGUUUUGUCCAGGGGAUGUGGGGUAGUAGUGACCAUUUUCCCAUUUGGGGCAGGGGUUGGGGCUGUGUGUGUGGCCACAGCCUUUCUCCUUGAGCCAGUGUCUCCUCCAGCCAUCAGUGAGUGAGCCCACCCUAAGGUGGGGCCUCUUUGGUCCUUGCACCUGAGGUGCUUAUUCAUAGGGCUGGGUCAGGAGUAGCAGAGACAAUGUCCUUGACCUCAAUCCUAGGGAAAGUAGCUUGGUUCUUCCUCCAUGGAUCCUGAGGAGACAAACAGAGAUGGAUAGAUAAGCAGGCCAGAAGCCAGAGAGAGAGCAAGAGCAGGGACACUGAGGUAGAGAUAGACACCAGUGGACAGAGGAGGAAGGAAGAAAUGGGUGUACCUGCCACCAAGAGACUGGGCAUUUGGACAGAGGGCACGAACACACCCAGGGACAGGCAGACCAACCAUAUGAAGAAAGAGGGAAAGGGUAUUGACAGCAAAGGGGGGAAGGAAUGUUUCCUUCCUUUACUGCCAGUCCAGCCCCAAACUUCAAGUCCUUUCCUCCAGACGGGCAGAGCAGAAGAGCAGUCAGUAGCACUGUCUCCAAGGCCAUCCCCUACCCCUUUAACCACAUGGGGUGUUAUCCACAGGUACCCUUUCACCAGGAUCAUUGUCUGCCCGAGUCCCAGCCUCCUCACCAGCUACGUGGCCUCCUGGCUUGGUUCUGGAACCUGCCUUGAACCCAGGGCAGUGCUAAGCAGCUCGGUCAGGGUGUCCAGCUUCCCUGCCAGUGCAUCCAUCCGCUUCUCCAGGGCCUGAUGUGAGCUGCUCAGUCCCAGCUGCAAGUCACACAGGAUCAUGUGCAUCUGGGCAGAGAGGGGGUCAGAGAUAUCAGGCUGAGGUAGAUUUCUUCCUUAACCCAGCUCUUGGCUCGGUGUUUUUCACACAUGGUUUACAUCUUCUUAAAAGCAUAGGGAGUGAGGAUUCCAUUCCCGUUUUUACAGCUUUGGAAACAGGCCUGGAGCAGUUAAAUACAUGCCCAAGGCAACACCCAGAGUCAGACCCAGUACAUAGAAGAUAGGUGCUUACUGAGUAUUUGUGGAAUUGAUGAAUGACUUCAAAACCCACAUAGCCCUUUCAUUACCCUCUCAAACUAGGAUUCACAGCUUUAUCCUUGAGGGUGUGUGACCUUUCUAUGAGAAUUCUUGAAUUCUCAGUUUGGGGCUGGAUAAUCUUAAGAAAUUACGACCUGCCAGUUCUGGCAGAUCCAGGCCACCACUCCUUGCUGAGACCUGCCAUGAAGUUUAGGGACCUGCAUCUGUGACUGUACUUGGCCAUGGCAUUGGUGCCAAGGGCCACUAUUUGAAUUGUCUCGGGCUAAUGAGAAAAAGCAAAGCCACUUGAUAAUAAGCAAAAGGCGCUGUGAGCCAAACAAAGGGAUGUGAUGUCACCAUCCCCAAGCACUGGCCGAAUCAAGUGGUCCCAGCAGAAGAAGGGCAAGCUGAGUCAGCCUUGGCCAAGCCAGCUUGCCCAGUGCGGAAGCCCCCGUGGCCUGGGGCCCCUCUUUGCAAUAGUAACAGAGCCUGGCUUUUACCAAAACCAUGUGCCCCGUCUGUGUCAGUGUUGUUAAUUUGCAUUUUAUUGGUUUUACCGUUUGUGUUUGAACUGGUUUGUAUAUUUGCUUUGGUUUUAUUAUUGUCUCAGAGUCAUAGUUGGAAGGAAUUUUAUAUCCGUCCACAUGUAACUCAACAAUAAAAAUAAUGUAAAA